rnacentral:rRNA from 1 species
CGAAGCCUAGUGGUAUCCUGAGUAGCGCGGAGCACGAGGAAUUCUGCGUGAAUCUGCCGGGACCAUCCGGUAAGGCUAAAUACUCCCGAGAGACCGAUAGUGAACCAGUACUGUGAAGGAAAGGUGAAAAGCACUUCGAACAGAAGAGUGAAAUAGUUCCUGAAACCAUGUGCCUACAAGCGGUCGGAGCACCUUCUGGUGUGACGGCGUGCCUUUUGCAUAAUGAACCUACGAGUUACUUUUUCCGGCGAGGUUAAGGAUUUCAGAUCUGCAGCCGAAGCGAAAGCGAGUCUGAACAGGGCGUAUAGUCGGAAGGAGUAGACGCGAAACCAAGUGAUCUACCCUUGGGCAGGUUGAAGGAUGGGUAACACCAUCUGGAGGACCGAACCAAUAAGCGUUGAAAAGCUUCUGGAUGACCUGAGGGUGGGGGUGAAAGGCUAAUCAAACUUGGAGAUAGCUCGUACUCCCCGAAAUGCAUUUAGGUGCAGCCUUGACUUAUACUGGCAUGAGGUAGAGCGACUGAUAAGAUGCGAGGGCUUCACCGCCUAUCAAGUCUUGACAAACUCCGAAUGCGUGUCAGUUCUAUGUCAGGAGUGAGGGCAUGGGUGCUAAGGUCCAUGUCCUAAAGGAGAACAAUCCGGACCAACAGCUAAGGUCCCGAAAUGAAUACUAAGUUGAACUAACGAAGUCAGAUUGCUAAGACAGCUAGGAUGUUGGCUUGGAAGCAGCCAUUCAUUUAAAGAGUGCGUAACAGCUCACUAGUCGAGGAGUUUGGCGUGGAUAAUAAUCGGGCAUAAGUAUUCUACCGAAGCUUUGGGAUGAGAAAUCAUCGGUAGGGGAGCAUUCCACUCUGCGUCGAAGGUGAGGCGCGAGCCUUGCUGGAGCGUGUGGAAAAGCAAAUGUAGGUAUAAGUAACGAUAAAGGGGGUGGGAAACCCCCUCGCCGAAAGACUAAGGUUUCCUGAUCAACGCUAAUCGGAUCAGGGUAAGUCGGGUCCUAAGGCUCAGCCGAACGGCGAGGCCGAUGGCAGAACCGGUUAAUAUUCCGGUACUACCUGUGGGAGUGACGUGGAGACGGAGUCGUGACAGCGCCGCGGACUGACGGAAUAGUCCGUUGAAGGGUGUAGAUGCUGAUUGUUCCAGGCAAAUCCGGAGCAAGAGUCGAACCUGAUAGUAUGGAGCGUUCUUAGAACAAUCCAAUAGUGCGUGUAAUCAUACUUCCAAGAAAAUCCGCUAAACUUAAUCCUGCAGGUACCCGUACCGCAAACGGACACACGUAGUCGGGUUGAAUAUACUAAGGCGCUUGAGUGAUUCACGGUUAAGGAACUAGGCAAACUGACCCUGUAACUUCGGGAUAAAGGGUCCUCGCUUUACGGCGAGGCGCAGAGAAUAGGUCCAGGCAACUGUUUAACAAAAACACAGGGCUGUGCAAAAUUGAAAGAUGAAGUAUACAGCCUGACACCUGCCCGGUGCUGGAAGGUUAAGAGGAGAUGUCAUCGCAAGAGAAGCAUUGAAUUGAAGCCCCAGUAAACGGCGGCCGUAACUAUAACGGUCCUAAGGUAGCGAAAUUCCUUGUCGGGUAAGUUCCGACCUGCACGAAUGGUGUAAUGAUCUGGACGCUGUCUCAACCGUGAGCUCAGUGAAAUUGUAGUAUCGGUGAAGAUGCCGAUUACCCGCGAUGGGACGAAAAGACCCCGUGAACCUUUACUAUAGCUUAACAUUGAAUUUGGGUAAUUGAUGUGUAGGAUAGGCCGGAGGCUUCGAAGCGGGCACGCCAGUGUCCGUGGAGCCGCUGUUGAAAUACGGCCCUUUGAUUAUUUGAGUUCUAACCCGUUGUUGCGGGGACACUGUUUGGUGGGUAGUUUGACUGGGGUGGUCGCCUCCAAAAGUGUAACGGAGGCUUCUAAAGGUGCCCUCACGACGAUUGGUAACCGUCGG